rnacentral:misc_RNA from 1 species
UCUACUCACCUGUCGCAUACAAUGAUUAACAUUCAAUUCGAAAUGCACUAUCAUCCAUAAGAUUUACAUUCACCACUUUUUUAUUUCUAUCACUCAUGUUUUCCCGGCAAAAUCGAUGCGUAUCUCGUGCAUCAACGCUUGUUGCGUAUCUACACGGAAUGUUUAAUAUUUGCUGAAGUGUUACUUUUUUCGACGUGAAUAAUCACAGUGCACACAUUUUCAAUAUUACGAUGUUAUUCUCGAUAUUUUUCGUAACGAAUUUGUUUGGACAAUUUGCUGAACGAUCAACAAUGUUUAGUUCAAGUAGAACUUGCAUCCUUGGAACGAGAGAUGUUGUCCCGAUUGAUGACGUCAUUAGGAAAUGUCACCGUCACCCCUGGAUAGUACAGUCACAGACGAGUGGAAGAAUCAUUGCUUGACUAUGGGGAUGUCCUCGGAAAAUAGUAAUCUAUAGAUCUGAUGACAUUUGAUAUAAAACGUUUGGUAAUGUUUGAUUUAUUUUAACAAAAGUGGAUGUACAGAUACGUUUAUAUAAUUUUUUGAUUAAUUCAAAUUAUAAUAUUCGACGCUUUGUUACAGAUCUUUUUCUACCCUUUCCUUCUUCCAGGGGAUUUGAUGAUUCUUAUUCGAUGACAAGUUUCGCAAUAACUUUUCUUGUGUCAACGACACCAAUGAUAACGUUUUUUGCAUCUAACCGUGAGUCGCACGCAUUUUUAUUCCUUUAAUCGCUCAAUUAUGUCGUAAGAGG